UAGGAAGGCUUAAGUAGUUUUCCAUAAGGAUUUUAAUAGGGAAUCCAUAUUCUAAUAUGAGAAGGAUAUGUGUGUACAUAUAUAUAUAUAUAUAUGGCAAUCUCUUCUCUCACAGGUGUGUGCUCUUUUGGAACUAAGCCCUAUUCUUAGUUUGAGUGAUAAAUACCCUGACAGAGAGAAGAAGAAUUGAUGUGCUUUUCAGGUUGAUCGAGAUCCACCAUGACUGCAUCAAACGGGAGUUCUACAGGUUAGUAUAAUUAGGUUUUAUUUGGAUUGAUGUUUUGUGUCUACUUGGUUGUAGUUUAAGUAACUGAAUCUUGCAGCUAGAUUUUGGUUUACAUGUGGUAUCAGAGCCAUAGAUUCAUGUUCUUAAAUUCAAUCGAUAAAAUUGAUUGAAUCCAAAAUAAAAUUCCGAUCUUCAGACUUCGAAACAGGUUCUGGUAGUUAAAAUUAGGAAAAGAAGAAACGGUGCGUUUUGAUUAAAAUAUGAUGAUUAAUACUUGACCGUUAAGAGCUAAUAAACUAUCUUCUCUUCCGAAUUGGGAAUACAAAUCGACAUCUAUCGAUUUCGAUUUCGGGGUUUGAAAAACUGGGUUAUAUGACAUCUAUCGAUUUCGAUUUCGAGGUUUGAAAAACUGGGUUAUAUGAAUUGUUAUUGAGUAUCCACAAUUUAUAUUAAUUGCUUCCGCUGCUGGGUGUUGAUGCUCAUAGAACAAACGGGUAUGUCUCCUGAACAUUGAAUUGAAAUUUGUUUUUUAAUCAAUCUUAUCUUGAAUUUCAUUAUGUUCUACAGCAUGAUUCGAAUAGUGAGCAUAAAAAUAUGCUUAUUUAUGCUGAUUAGUCCUAUGUUUAUGCGUUUUUCUCUAACCAUCUAUGGAAGGGAGUUCUUCGAUAAGAACCUCUGCAGAUUUCACUUGUUUUAUGCAGAAAGUUUUAUGAAGAACUGUUCAUUUGAUAAAGAUCUGCUAAAACUGUGUUCUUAAAUGGAAAAAUCUUUUAUUCUAUAUGUGCUUAUCAAUUCUUCAUUGUUAAGAUUAUAUAUAUGGAUAAAAGGUUUUGAUGAUAUGAUGUACAAAGGAUUGUGAGAUGAAAUCUGGAACUCUAAACGUUCUUCUGUGAUUCAUUGUGAUUUCAUUGUGCUACAGUGUCUGCAAUAUCAAUGAAGACUCUGAAUUUGGCUAACAUCCCAAUUCUUACUGGUGGGGGAAAUUACAAGAAGUGGAGAAGGGAAAUCAGUUUGCUGUUGACUCUAAACGAGUUUGAUAUAGCAAUCGAGAAUCCCAAACCCGUGGUCAAUGAUCAGAGCAGCACAAGGGCUGAAAAGGCAGAUUUUGAGAGAUGGACAAGGGCUAAUAAGGUAGCAUUGUCCAUCCUUGAGAGUGGCAUGACUGAUACAAUCAGAUGAGGAAUUAAGAAGCACGAUUUGGCUGCUGAUUACCUAAAAGCUAUUGAAAAGAAAUUUCAAGAAUCUGAAAAAGCUGAAGUGAGUCAGUAUAUGUCUUUAUUAACUACUUACAAGAUGGAGGGUACAAGCUCUAUAAGGGAUCACAUAAUGAAGAUGACAUAUGCUGCAGAAAGACUCAAUGCAAUGGAUAUAAACAUAGGUGAAAAGCAGUUAGUAUUCAUGAUUCUUCAAGCACUUCCCAGUAAAUAUAGUCAGUUGAAGAUCUCCUACAAUACUCAAGACAAAAACUGGGAUAUUGAUCAGUUGAUUGCACAGUGUGUGCAAGAAGAAACUCGUCAAAAACAAGAAAGAGGCAAAGAAGUUGAGGACAUCAACUUUGUGCAAACUAUAAAUGACAAAAAGCAGUUCAACAACAGAAGCUUUUCUGGUUCUGGUAAGAGUUCUAAGCCUUUUAAAACUUCUAAUAAGUUCAGUAAUUCUGCUAAAGUAGUUGACUCCCCUAGAAAAUCUAUCAAGUUUAAAGCUAAACCUAAAGAUGUGUCUAAAUUAAAAAUGUUUUUGGUGCAAAACUAAGGGCCAUUUAAAAGUUAACUGUGAAAUUUUCAAAGAUUAUGUAAAGAGCAAAGAAAAGGAACAAGUACUUGUCUGUAUUGAAUCAAAUUUGUGAAGUAUACCUGUUGAUUCUUGGUGGUUUUGAUAUACCGGAUGCUCAGUGCAUAUAACUAAUUCUUUAAAUGGUUUUCAAAAACAAAAGGAAUUUGGAAAUGCUACAUAUAAUGUUUUUGUUGGGGAAGGAACUAAAGUUGCAGUAGAGUCAAUUGGGAUAGUCAAAUUAGUCUUAUGUUCUGGUUAUGUUUUAGAGUUGAAAGAUGUGUGCUAUAUGUGCCUAAGAUGAGAAGAAACUUAAUUUCUGCCCUCUAAAAUUGUAAAAGAUGGUUUUUCUUUUCUUGGUGAUGAUGAGUGCCUCAAAAAUUUUCAAGAAAAACUGUCCUUGUCCUAACACUAUUUUAGGGACUGCUUUUUUGUCUGAUAAUUUAUGGAAUCUAAAUUGCACUGUUAAGGCACUCAAUCACACGAUUUUCAGCAUUAGUACUAAGAGAAUGAUAGGUCAGGAUACUUCAUACAUUUUAUGGCACAAAAGACUAGGACACAUCUCUAAAGAAAGGAUAAUUAAGCUGUAAAAAACUGACUUGAUUCCAAAAUUAGAUCUUUCUACUGCAACUGAAUGUGUUGACUGCCUAAAGGGUAAAAUGACCAAUUUUAGAAAAACAGAUGCCAAAAUGAGCCAGGGGUUACUUGAAAUCAUACACACUGAUAUCUGUGGUCCUUUUCCAGUUAAGACAAUAUGUGGAAACAAGUAUUUCAUUAAUUUCAUAGAUGAUUUUUCAAGGCUGGGAUAUACCUUUCUGAUUAAUGAAAAAGCUGAUGCCCUUAAGUGUUUUAUAAUUUACAAAACUGAGGUUGAAAAACAGUUAGGCAAGGUUAUUAAAAUUGUUAGAUCGGAUAGGGGAGGUGAAUACUUUGGCAGGUACACUGAAUCCGGGCAGCAAAAGGGACCAUUUGCUCUCUAUCUCGAGAAGAAUGGUAUUGUGGCGCAGUACACCACACCUGGAACGCCUCAACAGAAUGGUGUUUUUGAAAGAAGAAACAGGACUCUUAUUGGUAUGGUUAGAAGCAUGAUGUCCAGAUCAAAAUUGCCAGGAUUCUUGUGGGGAGAAGCUUUGAAAACAGCUAAUCAUAUAUUGAAUCGAGUUCCAAGCAAGGCAGUAUCUACCACACCCUAUGAGUUAUGGCAUGGGAGAGUUCCUAGUUUUACUUAUUUCCAUGUUUGGGGUUGUAAAGCAGAAGCUAAGUUAUAUAAUCCUAAUGAAAGAAAGCUGGAUUCAAGGACUCAGUCAUGUUAUUUUAUUGGCUAUCCUGAGAAAUCAAAAGGAUACAGGUUCUAUAUCCCUCAAGGUCACACUCGGAUCCAAGAGACACACAAUGCAGUUUUCCUAGAAGAUGAAGAUGUCUCUCAUUUGUCAAGGGAAAAUUUCAUAUUUGAAGAGAUGCAUUCAGAUGGUGGGGACCAUGUGACAAUGGAUUAUAAUAUCGGUCUCAUUGUUUCCCAAUCAAUCAUCAAUUGCCAUUGAAGAUAUGAGUGAAGAUUUAGGAGUUCCUGAUGACAACUCUGUAGGAGUUGAUUCCACAACAUAAGCUGCAACAAUUCCUUUUGCAGAAGCAUGUGAACCAGUUGCUGUUCCACCUCCAGUUGAAAUCAGAAGGUCACAAAGAGCUCGGAAAACCACUGCAAGCAAUGACUAUGUGUACUUAUAAGAGACUGAGUUCGAUAUUGGUGACAUUUGAUGAUCCUCUUACAUAUACUCAGGCAACUGAAAGUCCUCAAGCAGUUCUUUGGAACAAUGCAAUGAAGGAUGAGUUAGAUUCAAUGUCCAAAAACCAGGUUUGGACAUUGGUGGAAUCCAACUCUGAAAUUAGGCCAAUAGGCUGCAAGUGGGUAUAUAAAACCAAAAGGGAUGCUGCUGGAAGAAUUGAAAGAUAUAAAGCAAGGUUGGUUGCUAAGGGGUUUACUCAAACGGAGGGGAUCGACUAUAAUGAUACUUUCUCUCCAGUUUCCUCCAAAGACUCCAUGCGAGUUAUCAUGUCUUUAGCUGCCUACUUCGAUCUUGAAUUACAUCAAAUGGAUGUAAAAACCGCUUUUCUUAACGGAGACUUACAAGAGGCUAUAUACAUGAAACAACCUGUUGGAUUUGUUGAAAAGGGGAAAGAGAAUUUAGUAUGCAAGCUCAAUAAGUCCAUAUACGGCUUGAAACAAGCAUCAAGGCAAUGGUACCUAAAGUUUGAUCAAAUUGUCUCUGCAUAAGGUUUUGUAGAAAACAAACUGGAUGAUUGUAUAUACAUUAAGUUCUCAGGUUCCGAGUUCAUCUUCUUAGUACUUUAUGUUGAUGCCAUUCUCCUAGCUAGUUCAUGUCCCCAAUUGCUUCAUAGCAUUAAGAGAAUGCUAAGUGAUAACUUUGAGAUGAAAGAUCUUGGAGAAGCACAUUAUGUACUAGGAAUAGAGAUUGUUCGAGAUAGGAAAAUGAGGCUCCUUGGUUUAUCUCAAAAGGGGUACAUUGACAGAGUGUUGGAGAAAUUUCAUAUGGCAAAUUGCAAUUGUGGUCAGGUUCCAGUCAAUAAAGGUGACAAGUUUUCGAAGAUUCAAUGUCCAAGAUCUGAUUUGGAGGUGAAGAAAAUGCAAGCUAAGCCUUAUGCCUCGUUGAUUGGAAGUCUUAUGUAUGCAACUAUCUGUACAAGGCCUGAUAUUGCCUUCAUAGUUGGUAUGCUAAGACGAUUUCAAGCAAAUCCUGAGAAGCACAUUGGGGGUGGCAGCCAAGAAGGUUCUUCGAUACUUGCAGAGAACCAAAACUCACAUGUUAGUAUAAUGGCCGAACUGAUUCUUUGGAGCUCAGGGGGUAUAUACUCGGAUUUAGCUGGAGAUGUGGAUGACAGGAAGUCCACAGGGGUUAUAUCUUCAUACUCAAUGGAGGGGCAGUUUCGUGGAAAAAUGCAAAGCAAACUAUUAUAGCCACAUCAACUAUGGAAGCUGAGUUUGUAGCCUGUUUUGAAGGCAUGAAACAGGCAGCAUGGUUGAAGAAUUUUUUGACAGAUUUAAAGAUUGUGAAUUCGGUUCAGAAACCAGUAACAAUGUUCUGUGAUAAACAACUCGGCUGUGUUUUUUGCUAAGAAUAAUAAAAGGACUUCAGCAUCUAGAUUUGGAUGGACGAAGUUUCUUAAGGUCAGAGAACAAGUCAAGAAAGGAGUUAUUGAAGUACAGCACAUUAGCACUACUAUGAUGAUUGCUGAUCCCUUGACUAAGGCACUGCCAAUUGGAGAAUUCAAGAAACAUGUUUCUUCAAUAGGAGUACUAGAAGGUUUUGAUCAGUGGGAGUAAUCACGUGUGUGUUAAAGGCUUGGGAUUGCAGAAGCAGAAGUAUAUAUGUGUUUCAAGAACUGUAUGUGCAAUUCUGACAAGCUGAACUAAGGAUGCUUUAUGUUUUAACUUGCUUUAGUUAGUUUGUUAAGGUUGUUUGUGUUUUAAUAAGUGUCCUUGUCUGCUACUCAAUACUUUGGCUUUCAGGUGUUGAGGUACGGAUACUGGACUGAGUUAGAAUUUAGUUUCAUUAGUAACUUUGAAAGAACAGUUUGUCUGUUUUUUAAGUUUGUGGUUAAUGAUGUUAUAUAGUCAAUUACUAUGUUGCUUUUCUGUGAAGAUUAAUGUGUGUUGUGAUCUUUUGAAAAGUGGGAGCAUAAUGUUUGACGGUUUAUGUUAGUCAUGAGUCAUAUUUACAAAUUGAAUAUAUGUGAGCCUUGAAUUAAUACUACAAUUUGGUUGUGGUCUGAGAUUCUUGGUUUCUAUAUUUUGAGAUGUAAUGGGACAGUGGUCAUGAUGGUUAAAUCUUAGAUGAGGUUAUGUGAUCACUUCUUAUGAUUGGUGACGGCAAGGUUUGAUCUUUGUCUCAUGUUCAAGUGGGAGAAUGUAAGAAUGUGAACAUGAGAUAAGAUGAUCGGAUAUUAGUUGUUUGAGUCCAAUCCGAAUAAGAAAGCCUCUAAGAAGAUGGAAUUCAGUUCUUGGCAGUAGAGGACUCUAUUGCAGGGAAAAACUGAUUUGAAUUAGGAAGGCUUAAGUAGUUUUCCAUAAGGAUUUUAAUAGGGAAUCCAUAUUCUAAUAUGAGAAGGAUAUGUGUGUACAUAUAUAUAUAUAUAUGGCAAUCUCUUCUCUCACAGGUGUGUGCUCUUUUGGAACUAAGCCCUAUUCUUAGUUUGAGUGAUAAAUACCCUGACAGAGAGAAGAAGAAUUGUUGUGCUUUUCAGGUUGAUCGAGAUCCACCAUGACUGCAUCAAACGGGAGUUCUACAGGUUAGUAUAAUUAGGUUUAUUUGGAUUGAUGUUUUGUGUCUACUUGGUUGUAGUUUAAGUAACUGAAUCUUGCAGCUAGAUUUUGGUUUACAUAUUUUUCGAUGUAGGCUUUAUCCACGGUGUGAGCUGCCGGCCUGACGCGGAGUUUGGUAGGGGAGGGGAAUUUGAAGUCUACGAUUUUUUGGGACGUUGGCGGGCAACAGUUGGUCGGGACUGCUCCACUUGGAAAGUCCGCAGCUCCGCAUUUGGCUAGGUCAGGCGGCAACACUGGCUUUGCAACAGCGAAGGGGUCGCUGCCAAGACCAACCACUCCGGCUUUGCAACAGCGAAGGGGUCGCUGCCAAGACCAGCCACUCCACCGUAGAGGCUUCCGAGACCUAUAAGUACAUUUCUUCUGUCUAGGUUUACUAGAGAAGGGUUUUCAUGGUCGUGAUCGUUGGAGCUAGUGGAAGGGUUUUUGUUUUGGUCACUACUAUUAUUUGUGGCUUUGCACGAGACAGCUUGUAAAUUGGAAUGCCUAGGGUUUCCAAAUGAGGAUAUUCGGUGAUACUUUUGGGAGAAAGGGGAGAGAGAAGUUGUGGGGAUGAUACUUGUGGCGGAGGUGACGAGUGGAGCUGACAUAGAAGCCAUGGUACUUGACUCUGAAUAAUACGUUGUAUUGGCUUUGCUUUUAUAAUGUGUUCUAGGUUUUACGUUUCUUUGCACGGGUGGCAGGCCGUACACACGUGGUCGGUCCUUAAGGGUUUGACGAGGAAUACUACGCAGUCAUUUAGUACAUGACAACCAUACACUAUAGCACGUGGCAUGUAUUUAGAGAUCGAGAGAGAAUUGGGUAAGGUUCACGAGGGAUUGUAGUUUCAGAAGGUGAAUUGGUUUUGGUCUUCUUGUGUACCAAUAAUUUUUACUUAGUCAUUUAGUGCAGGACAACCAUGCACUAUAGCACGUGGCAUGUAUUCAGAGAUCGAGAGAGAAUUGGUUGGGUAAGGUUCACGAGGGAUUGUAGUUUCAGAAGUUCAAGCGGUUUUGGGCUUGUUGUGUACGGCUGUGGGUCUGCUGUCACGGACUCUCUGUCUCAUUUGUGUCUUAUUUUUUAUUUUUUGACACGUUUUAACGUCAAAUCAUUAUAGCAAUGUUAUGCAAUUGGGAGCUAAAUGACCGAUGCUCUUAUUUUUUAGUUUGCUUUUUUUCCAGAUCUGAUCAAAUCAUGAUAGCAAUGUUAUGCAAUUUUCAAGAGGGAGAGAUGCACCUGGGAGAGAAACGGUACGGUGACUUCUAAAUCACCGUCCAACAGAACAAUUCUCAGUAGAGACUACUAGAGAGAGAUGCACCUCACCAAUGAAAAAUUUAACUGCAAAAAUUCUGGGUAUCGGGAGUUGUGGGGUGGGUCUUGGCAGUUUUCUUAUUUCUUUGAAUUUUUUAUAAUUUAUUUUAUAAAAGUAACAGUGUUUUGUGGGGGUUAAAUUGUAAAACACGUGUCAUCAAACUAAAUAAAGAGACACCAAAGAGACAUGGAAUUCGGGACAACAGACCCACAGCCGUUGUGUACGGAGGCAGACUCUCUGCUCUCCUACUUUCUGUGUCCUCCUGUUUUGUGUAGUCACGAUUAAAUCACGUCAAUAUUUUAUAUUAUUAUUUUAUAGAUAUAAUAAGACAAAAAAGAAUAGUAAUUUAAAAUAUUAACGUGACUUAACUGUGACCACACGAAUAGGAAGGCAUGAGAAGUGGGAAGGCAAAGAAUAUGCCUCCGUUGUGUACCAAUAAUAUUAUAUAUAUAUAUAUAUAUAUAUAUAUAAUUAGGAUUGAAGGAUGUAGAGCUUAUUUUGUUAUGUAUUCUAACAAUUUAAGUGCUUAUCUUUUAGGUUUUCUCUUAAACAGCAUGCCUAUAAAAAAUCACCAAAAUUCAAACCAUAUGACCAUUAGAUCCAUAGUCAUUUUAGUGUUAAAUGAACUUCACAAAAUAAGUCUCAAAAUAUGUAUAAAAAAUGGACAGCGUGAAUGGUUUGGAAAUUGGAAUAGGUUUGGAAAUUGUGCUUUUUGUAGCAAAUUGCAGCAAAGUUUGCUUGGACUUUCACAACCGUAUAAAUUAAACUGUUCGCUUUGUUGGGAAAAACAAGUUUGCCGCUGGUCUUGGGUUCCAAGAUCGGCCAAUUUGACGGCACACUUUUUGGCGUUGAGAAGCAGUACGGAGAUGUGCAGAUUAACUUGGAUUGAUACUCCUCCAUCUUCGUUGGUUCGUGUAUUGAACAAAGAUGGCCUUCCUUGCCCUCCUUAAUAUUUUUUGUUCUUCCUGCAGUGGAGGCGGUGACGCCUUGCUCUUGGUGCAGCGUCUAGUGUUCUGUACCCUCCUCUUCUGCAUAUGUUUGUAUUUCCCCUCGUUGCCCCUUCUAAGUGGGCUUCCUAUUGUUUUGGCUUCGGCCCUGGUUAUGAAAUAUUUCCAAUCUUACCCAAAAAAAAAAAAAAAAAGAAGAAGAAGAAGAAGUCAAGCACGGUGGGAGACUGGUCAUAGUUUCUAGAUUGAUGCUCUAAUUCUAAUGUUAUACAACGCGUACGCUAAAAUAUUUUUAUCAAAAUAUUAGUUUUAGUGUUAUCAAAACAAUAAUGUUAUUCUUACCAUGUUUUUGUAUCACAAUUAUAUACCACCUUAGAUGGCAUAUGAUGUAGAUAGCCACAUCAUUUAAAUUAAUAAGCAUUUAAUUUCAAAUGUUAAUCAAUAAUUAAUAAAAUGAUUGUUAAUUAAAUGAUGAUUAUGGUAUACAAGGAGUCUCCUUCUUCCUUCCCCUUUCCAUUCUGCUUUUUCUUCCUACCACUUUCUGUUUUUUUUUUCAUGCCAGUUUUUGUAUUGAUUUCUAUUGAUUUCCAUGAUUAUGGUCAAUCUUUAUAGAAUUUACUCGUAUACCACAACCACCAUUGAUUUCUAUCUCUAGACUCAUGCCCCGUAGCCCUAAUCCUCAUUCCCCUUCAAGUAUUUCUGUCUCCAAUCUUCUUUGGUACUCCAUGGUUGUUCAUCUCGUGAUUUUUUUUUAUUAUUUCAUUAAGUAACGCCUAUUAGCUUUCAUGCGAAUUAGGAGUCAAAAUCAAAUUUGUCUAUCGGAUUAGGGUUCAUGCCCAAUUAAGUUACUAACGCAAGAGAGAUUUUGAAGUCUACAAUUUUCCUUAUUUAAGUGUUUUAAUUAAUAAGAAAAUUGAAAUUAAACGAUUUAGCUUGUCCAACUCAUCUGCCACCUAAGAUGGUAAAUAAAUGUGGUAAGAAUAGCAUUACUCUUAUCGAAAUUACAAAAAAAAAAAAAAAAAAAAAAAAAAGCUGAUUCAAUAUUUAGUUAUUAAAAAAAAUAUAAAAAAAGUGAUCAAGUAACUAUCCAAUACCCAUGUAUUGGGUGCUUUGUUUGAAAAUUUUCAAAAUGAUAUUGGGCUCGUUUGGAUAUGUUUUUAAAAUGACUGAAAGCGUUUUUAGAGAAAAUAUUUUUUUGAUUCCAAAAGCACUUAAAGUGUUUUCUGCAAAAAGCACUUAAAGUGCUUUCUGCAAAAAGCACCAGUUAUGUGCUUCUUCCUAGAAGCACUUUAAGUGUUUUUCAAGCAUUUACUUGCUUUUUUACUAAGGAUUGGUUCCAAAAACAUUUUCACAAAAAGUGUUUUCAGUCAUUUUAAAAGUACAUUCAAACGAGCUCAUUGUUUUUCCUAUUUUAAUCAAGUGCGUCGUCCCCUGUUGAGAAUGAAUCUCAUAUUAUGGGGAGAGGGGUCUUGCAUGGAUGAGAGGAGGGACCUUGCAUGAGCUUAUAAGUAAGUUGGGUUACUCUCUAUAUUGCCAAGAGAAAUUUUAUUUGGACCUACUUUUCCUCUCUCUAAACCCAACUUUAAUAUUUUGUUACCUAAACUCUCUAGUUUACCCUCAUAAAUUAUAAACAUAAAUAAACUGGAAAAAGAAAAACUCAUCAAACCUAUUUCCCAACUGUUCUGGCGUCUCUUCCCUGUAUUUGUUGGGUCUAUCUCCCUCCCGACUGUUUUUUUUCCCUGAUAUUCUCUGUGUGUUCCCCCACCUCUCCCACACCCACCGAUUCUUUGUGGUGGCUAUUCCACCCAACGUCCAGUGAAUCUUUCCAUUUUUCUUCUAUUGCGCGUGAUAGGGCCUUGCUGUUAAUAGGCAAAACUAAGCGGCAUCGUCGACUCUGUAAGCGACUUGUUGCAGAAGUCCAAAAUGGAGUCAAAAGGAUUUUGUAUUGGGUCGGGUUGUUGAAGGCGAUGGCUGAUUUAGCAAUCUCGCCUAACUACUUCUAUAUGCAGGAGAAGGAAGAGGGAGGAAGGUCUAAAGUGGUGGUUGAGUGGUGGCGAUGUAUGUGGGUUCUAUCUCGGUUGAAUGGGUGUAGAAAGAUAUUUAAUUUUCAGUUUCUUAUUUUAUUUUGUAUAAGGGAUAAUAUCGGAAUUACAUAAAAAGUUUUUUUUAUAGCUGGGUGUAGAAAUAGUAUUGUUGGGUCUAAAUAAAAUUACCCUAUUGCCAAACAUAGUAUUGUUGGGUCUAAAUAAAAUUACCCUAUUGCCAAUUAGCUUUGUUUGAAAAUUUUCAAAAUGAUAUUGUUUUUACCAUUGAACCCUUGUUAUAUACAGUGAUGGCUAAUUUGUCAAGUUCUACGAAGUUGGGAUACCCAGCGUUUUAGCAUAUAACAUAACUUAGUAUUACAAGCAUAAUUAAUUAAAAUAAAGGAAAAUGAAGAGGAUAGCUUAGUAUUACAAGCAUAAUUAAUUAAAAUAAAGGCAAAAGUAACAGCCUGUCCCUAAAAAUGACGAUUUUAUAAUCUUAACACGUGAGUUUAUGAAGAUGCCCUUCGAGGCAAAGUGUUGACUUGUGUUGACUACCGCAUCGUGUCAUGUGAGACUCAUCUUCUUGGCGUAUUCUCGUUUUACUUGUCACUACGGACGCAUGGGCGCAAACGGGACAUGAUUUGGAGCUAUAACGAAUGAGUUAUUAACAUUUAAAGUUAAGGACAUUUUAGUAAAUUAAUUAAUUUCAGAUUAUGUUGAGGGGAAAAUCUGGAGUGCCGGUGGGUGGCCCAGAUUAAAGGAAAUGAAGAAUGGAUGGUGGAGGUGUAAAGGAAAGAAGAUAAAAGAAAAAUGAGAGGAAGUGUGUGACUAAUAGGGAGAUGAGAGAGUUAGGAUGGCCCAAUCAGAAACAAACGAAAGGAGGAAAAAGGAGAGAAGAGGGGAGCGGGGGAUCCCUUCGACCCGGUUCCAUUUUCCGACCCGACCCGAUCCUUUUCAUCUUCUUUGAUGGUUUUUCGUCGGUUUUUUCCGACGAACCACGUUAUCUAACCCCUUGGAAAAUGUUCCACAACCUUCCCUCAACUAUUACAAUCCAAAAUUGUAGAAAUUUAGCCAUGAAAGUAUGAAAACCACACCGGUGGGUGCGGGAAACCCUUGUCGUCGAUUCUCCCAUUAUUGCAACGAUUUUCACCAAUUACCACCACCUACAACAUCCUCUUGAGGUCUGGAAUAAAGCCCAAACAAGUUUUGCACUACUACAAUAUUAGCUUUAGAUGGCAGAUGAUGGUGGCGGAUUUAGAAAAAUAUUGUCGGAUAAAUUAUAUCUGACACAUUAUUUAAUUAGUGGUGAAUAUAAGAAAAAUCAUGUCGGUUAUAACCGACAUAAAUUCGUGGCAGAUACUAGCAGAUAUUAAAAAACUCAUGUCGGUUAUAACCGACAUAAAUUCCUAGCGAAUAAUUACUGACAGAUAUUAUAAAACUUCUGUCGGUUAUAACCGACAAUAUUUUUGAAUUGGGGGAAUUUAAAAUUUUGGGAGGGAAUUUAAAAUUUUGGGAGGGAAUUUAAAAUUUUGGAGGAAAUUUUGGGGGGAUUUUUACCCAUAUUAAUUCAUGGCGGAUAAUUACUGACGAAUAUUAUAAAGCUCAUGUCGGUUAUAACCAACAAUAAUGAAAAUGUUUAUGUCGAUUUUUAUUAAAAAAAUGUUUCUGUCAGUUUUAACCGACAUUAAUGAAAAUAUUCCACAGUAAAACCCCUACUUCUUCUCCUUGUGCUGGUGCCUUCUCCCUUCCCCCUUCUUUCCCCCUUUUCUCUUCUCCUCAUUUCCUUUUCCUUUGUAUUUUUGAUUUUGACAAGGUCUCUCCUUUAUUUGAUUCUUUGUUGUUCAUCUCUCACAAAUGUAGAGAGAGUAAAGGAGAUGCUUAGAGCGCUUUCUUUGUUCCUUUUUUUUUUCUUUUCAUUUUUUCCCUUUUCAAACUCCGACUAUGUCUUACAUGGCCGGUCCCAAGCCCGGAUAAAGGAGGAGGGGGAGGGCGUCAGGUAGUCGACAGCCGGCACUCCAUGAUCACGUCGAAUCCUUAUGAAAAUGAAUCCAGAACAAAAUCGCGCUAAAGCUAGGGCGCCACCCGUAAGUGGCGCGCUGUGUGGCCCGAGCACAGUGAUAAGUGAGCAAGGGUCGCUGUAUCUCCAUCGGCACUCGGAUGCAGUGUUAAAUGAGCAAGGGGGCCAUAGAAACUUCUUUUCGAACGACUCCACUCAAAGUUGUUUGGGAGCAUAUGCUCCUAUCAACUUUACCCGGGACACACAAAAGAAGUACUUUGAUCCUAUUAGACGGGGGAGGGUGAAGAAGCUAGGACAGAAGGGUAGAGUUCAAGAGAGCAAAAUGCGUUUAGGAACGUGGAAUAUAGGAACCUUAACGGGAAAAUCUAUGGAAGUAGUGGAAGUUAUGGUGAGGAGAAGGAUAAAUAUUAUGUGCCUACAAGAAACUAAGUGGGUUGGUAGUAAGGCAAAGGAUCUAGAAAACUCAGGGUUUAAACUUUGGUAUUCGGGCACAAAUAGAACGAGAAACGGUGUUGGCAUCAUCGUGGACAAGACCUUGGUACAAGAUGUUGUAGAUGUCAAGAGUGUAGGAGAUAGAAUCAUGGCAAUCAAGAUUGUAAUAGGACAAGAACUUAUCAAUGUGAUUAAUGCGUACGCACCUCAAGUAGGGUUGGAUACGAGUUCGAAGGAGAAAUUUUGGGAAGAUCUUGGAGACUUGGUGCAAGGAAUUGCUCAGACGGAGAAGUUAUUUAUAGGAGGAGAUUUAAAUGGACACGUGGGCAGGGAGACAGGCAACUAUGGAGGUUUUCAUGGUGGCCAUGGUUUUGGGGAGAGAAACGAGGAUGGGGAAGCUAUCUUGGAUUUUACAAUGGCAUAUGAUCUCUUCUUAGCCAACACCUUCUUUAAGAAGAGAGAAGAACAUGUGAUCACCUACAAGAGUGGGUCGUCAAAAACACAAAUAGAUUUUCUUCUAAUGAGGAAAGGGGAUCGUAUAACUUGUAAGGAUUGCAAAGUUAUACCAGGAGAGAGCGUGGCUAAUCAACAUCGCUUGUUGGUGAUGGAUGUACAUAUCAAAAGAGUAAGACAAAAGAACAAGACUUGGAAGUGCCCAAGGACUAGAUGGUGGAAUCUAAAAGAAGAAAAACAAGUCAUUUUCAAAGAGAAGGUAAUCACCCAAUGUGUGUGGGAUAGAGAGGGGGAAGCUAGCCAAAUGUGGGAUUUCAUGGCUAGUUGUAUCCGAAAAGUAGCAAAAGAGGUAUUAGGAGAGUCUAAGGGCUUUGCCCCACACUAAAAGGAAUCUUGGUGGUGGAAUGAGGAGGUACAAACAAAGGUGAAGGCUAAGAAGGAAUGUUGUAAAGCCUUAUACAAGGAGAGGACCGAUGAAAAUGGUGAAAGGUAUAGAAAAAAAGCGAAGCAAGAGGCGAAGAAAGCUGUCAGAGAAGCUAAGUUAGCGGCUUACGACGAUAUGUAUAAACGACUAGAUACCAAAGAAGGAGAGUUGGAUAUCUAUAAACUAUCUAGAGCAAAGGAAAAGAAGACAAGGGACCUAAACCAAGUGAGGUGCAUCAAGGAUGAGGAUGGAAAGGUUCUUGCUACAGAGAACGCGGUUAAAGACAGAUGGAGAGGUUAUUUUCAUAAUCUUUUCAAUGAAGGACAUGAAAUGAGUGCUUCUUUAGGGGAGUUGAGUAACUCAGAAGAGUGUAGAAACUACUCUUUUUAUCGUCGAAUCCGGAAGGAAGAAGUGGUUGUAGCUUUGAAGAAGAUGAAGCAUAAAAAAGCAAUAGGCCCAGACAAUAUACCAAUCGAAGUGUGGAAACUUUUGGGAGAGACAGGUAUAACAUGGCUCACUGACCUUUUCAAUAGGAUUUUGAAAACGAAAAAGAUGCCAAAUGAGUGGCGAACGAGCACUUUGGUGCCUAUCUACAAGAAUAAGGGCGACGUACAAAAUUGCAUGAACUAUAGGGGUAUUAAGCUAAUGAGUCAUACAAUGAAGCUCUGGGAGAGAGUCAUUGAGCAUAGAUUGAGGCAAGAGACACGGGUUUCGGACAACCAAUUCGGGUUCAUGCCAGGGCGCUCAACCAUGGAGGCAAUCUAUCUCUUACGAAGAUUGAUGGAAAGAUAUAGAGAUGGGAAAAAUGAUUUACACAUGGUCUUUAUAGAUUUGGAAAAAGCGUAUGAUAGGGUCCCAAGAGACAUUCUUUGGAGGAUUUUAAAGAAGAAAGGAGUACGAGUAGCAUAUAUCCAAGCUAUAAAGGACAUGUAUGAAGAAGCAAAGACUGCCGUAAGAACUCAUGAAGGACAAACCGAAAGCUUUCCCAUAACUGUAGGAUUACAUCAAGGCUCAUCCUUAAGUCCUUACCUUUUUGCGUUGGUAAUGGAUGAGUUAACAGGACAUAUUCAAGAUGAUAUUCCUUGGUGUAUGCUUUUCGCAGACGAUAUAGUGUUGAUAGAUGAAACUCAGGAAGGGGUAAAUGCAAAGCUUAACCUUUGGAGAGAAGUGUUGGAAUCUAAAGGUCUUCGCCUAAGCCGAUCAAAGACAGAAUAUAUGGAGUGCAAGUUCAGUGCAAAUGGAGGCCAAAACGAGUUAGGGGUGAGGAUCGGAGAUCAAGAAAUACCAAAGAGUGACCGUUUUCGUUACCUAGGAUCUAUCUUGCAAAAGAACGGAGAAUUAGAUGGAGAUCUCAACCAUAGAAUACAAGCUGGAUGGAUGAAGUGGAAGAGUGCAUCUGACGUGUUGUGUGACCGUCGUAUGCCACUGAAGCUCAAAGGAAAAUUUUAUAGGACGGCAAUAAGGUCGGCGAUGAUUCAACUUGGCGGGUUCGAGCAAAUAGGCGUUGGGCCAUAUUAGACACAGAACCUGCACACUGAACACUGAGAGCUAGCGAAUCCUUAACAGCUAACUCAUCAGACCGUUUGGAAAGUAGUCUGUUAUCUUUGGGAGUGAGAAGGUUCCUGGCCACCACCGCAGCGGUCAUAUCAUUCUUCAUCACGGAAUCCCCAACGGUAAGAGGACCAGUAGGGGAGACAAAGGAUGGGCGCCAUAUGUUGUCUGGAGAAGGCGGGGCUGCCUCUUCAACAAGGUUCAAGUCAAAAAACGACGGUCGGAGGGCCAGACAUUUUCAAAGGUGUUGAAGAGAGAAGAGGUCGGACACAAAUCAAGAUCUUAGAAGUGCAAGAAUGAAGCUUCUACUGGUGGAGAUUCAAGUGUGCUUUGGAACUUAAUGCCAGCCCCUAUAAAAAUCUGCACUCGACGGAGCUUCAGAAAUCGAAGAGGCGUUUGCUUUCUCAAAAGCUGGGCUGCUUAGAGAUCACGAGGGUUGAUCUCAGGAAUCGAAGAGGCGUUUGCUUUCUCAAAAGUUGGGCUGCUCAAAGACCACGAAGGCCGAUCUCAGAAAUCGAAGAGGCGCUCACUUUCUCAAAAACUGGGCUCCCCAGAGACCACGAGGGCCGAUCUCAAAAAUCGAAGAGGCACCUACUUUUCCAGCCUUGUCAGCACCUGUCACACGCACACUCAGCUUUGCGGAAAUUAUGGGCAUUCUGUCGAAGACUUCUGGGGAAGUAGAAAACACAUGAAUCUUACUGUUCAAUCACCCACUUCCCACACGCAAUAAUAGCUCAUGGGUACCACAGAUAACUUUGCCAAAGUUCUCUGCCAAAGUUGAGCACGUGAAGCUUGCAGCUCCCACUACAUCGCUCUGACCAAGAAGGGUAAAAAGAAUAGCAAAGAAACAGCACUAACAAAGUUUAGACCCAUAAAUUUUGAAGGUCUAGCUACCAUAUUAUUACCCACAAGGGUAAAGGAACAGUACCACUGCUGGAUAAUUGGAAAGUCCCUAUGUGUCAACCUCUGUGCUUCGUGGCAAGGUAGACUAGCAAACAUGCCCAACCUUUACUCACAUUCGAGAAAACACUCCCAAUAAGAUUGCUUGCUCCAAAAUCGAAGAGGCACCGUCCUCCGAAUCUCGAGAGCCAGACUCCCAACAUGACUACUUUCUUAAAAAUCGAAGAGAGGGUAAAGGAACAGUACCAUUGCUGGAUAAUUGGAAAGUCCAUGUGUGUCAACCUCUGUGCUUCGUGGCAAGGUAGACUAGCAAACAUGCCCAACCUUUACUCACAUUCGAGAAAACACUCCCAACAAGAUUGCUUGCUCCAAAAUCGAAGAGGCACCGCCCUCCGAAUCUCGAGAGCCAGACUCCCAACAUGAUUACUUUCUCAAAAAUCGAAAGAGACACUGCUCCCCGAAUCUUCGAGAGCCAGACCCCCAGCAUGAUUGCUUUCUCAAAAAUCGAUGAGGCAUCGUUCUCCGAAUCAAUCGAAGAGGCGCUCGCUUUCUCAAAAGCUGGGCUGCUCAGAGACCACGAGGGCCGAUCUCAGAAAUCGAAGAGGCACUUACUUUUCUAGCCUUGUCAGCACCUGUCACACGCACACUCAGCUUUGCAGAAAUUAUGGGCAUUCUGUCGAAGACUUCUGGUGAAGUAGAAAGCACAUUAAUCCUACUGUUCAAUCACCCACUUCCCACACGCAACAAUAGCUCAUGGGUACCACAGAUAACUUUGCCAAAGUUCUCUGCCAAAGUUGAGCACGUGAAGCUUGCAGCUCCCACUACAUCGCUCUGACCAAGAAAGGUAAAAGAAUAGCAAAGAAACAGCACUAACAAAGUUUAGACACAUAAAUUUUGAAGGUCUAGCUACCAUAUUAUUACCCACAAGGGUAAAGGAACAGUACCACUGCUGGAUAAUUGGAAAGUCCCUGUGUGUCAACCUAUGUGCUUCGUGGCAAGGUAGACUAGCAAACAUGCCCAACCUUUACUCACAUUCGAGAAAACACUCCCAACAAGAUUGCUUGCUCCAAAAUCGAAGAGGCACUGUCCUCCGAAUCUCGAGAGCCAGACUCCCAACAUGACUACUUUCUCAAAAGCGAAGAGAGGGUAAAGGAACAGUACCAUUGCUGGAUAAUUGGAAAGUCCCUGUGUGUCAACCUUUGUGCUUCAUGGCAAGGUAGACUAGCAAACAUGCCCAACCUUUACUCACAUUCGAGACAACACUCCCAACAGGAUUGCUUGCUCCAAAAUCAAGAGGCACCGCCCUCCGAAUCUCGAGAGCCAAACUCCCAACAUGAUUACUUCCUCAAAAAUCGAAGAGACACUGCUCUCCGAAUCUCGAGAGCCAGACCCCCAGCAUGAUUGCUUUCUCAAAAAUCGAAAAGGCAUCGUUCUCCGAAUCUCGAGAGCCAGAUACCACAGACCACUUUUUCAAAGUGCUCUGACAGAGUUAAAACAUGUGAAACUGGCAGCUCCCACUACCGUGCUAUGACCAAGCAGGGUAAAGGAAUAGCAUUACUACUUGUUGUUAGGGAGACUCCUAUAUAUGUCGACCUCCAUCCCCAACGGACAGGCAGACCUGCAAAAAUGCUCAACCCUUCAUCAUAUCUGAGUGGGCACUCCCAACGAAGCCUUUCGAAAUAUUCAGCUUUCUUUCCCCCCGAUAAUACCUCUGCAAACAAGCUAUACUAGAGCAAGAAUAUCUCAUAUCAUCAGGGUUAAAAGCAAGAGUAUCCCAUAUCAUGCUUUUUCCCUGUCUUUUCCUUUGGCCUUGUUUUUACCUGCAAGACAAGGAGAAAGAGAGCAAUCAGUCAGCACUUGGAAUCAAGCUUCCAACCAGGAAAUGACUGCCUGGAACCCCUUACUUGGCAUUGCUCUCGAGUACUCAUCUUCAACAUCUUAUGUUUCCAGGGAAGAUUCUGCAUCUGCUUGAGGAACAGAUAGGGCAAGUGCGAAGGAUACAAGGAAGCAUGCGGAGACAAGCGUAACAGCACACGUGCCGAUACAUCCAUUACUCUGUCAAAAGCAAAAGUAUCCCAUAUCAGCAGGGUGGAACGUACUCUAGAUUUGAUGGACUUGUUUUGACCCUCAAAUUCUUCAGUCGGCCUUAUAUUCUGGAGGAAACCAGAAAACCCUCCAGCUCAGUUCAAGAAUAAGCCUGUGGAAAGUUACUUCUUCAAAAGCAAAAGUAUCUCAUAUCAUCUCUUCUCAUUUUUCUUCUCUCUUUAUCCUUCAUGCUGCUGCAAGAUGGGGAGAAGGUGAACAAUCAGUCGGAGCUCUGAUUGCUUACCUUGUCUGUCACCUCUUUCAGCAGACCCCCUAGCUCGGCGACUUGGGGGACUCCUACUAAAUGGUUUGUAUCGCGCUUGACCAAGCCUGAAACUACAAGUAAGCUUCAAGUGAAAUUGAUACAUUACCUUGUGCAUCUCCACCAGUUAAAGAUACCACCCCUGGAUGGAGGAAGAGUACUUCCAGAGAAGAUGCCACAUCUACCUAUGAGACAGAUAAGGCAAGUCAAGACGACACCACACUCCGAUACUUAGAAGUUUCGUGAUUAUGAGAUCAUUCUCCCACAAUAUUUCCUAAUGUCAUUUGUACUAAAUCAUUCACUUGUACUCACUAAAGGAGAGCUUGAACCUAUGUACUUGUGUAAACCCUUCACAAUUAAUGAGAACUCUUCUAUUCCGUGGACGUAGCCAAUCUGGGUGAACCACGUACAUCUUGUGUUUGCUUUCCUAUCUCUAUCCAUUUAUAUACUUAUCCACACUAAUGACCGGAGCAAUCUAGCGAAGAUCACAAAAAGCGACCGUUUUCGCUACCUAGGAUCUAUCUUGCAAGAGAACGGAGAAUUAGAUGGAGAUCUCAACCAUAGAAUACGAGCUGGAUGGAUGAAGUGUAAGAGUGCAUCCGGCGUGUUGUGUGACUAUCGUAGGCCACUGAAGCUCAAAGGAAAAUUUUAUAGGACGGCAAUAAGGCCAGCGAUGUUGUAUGGCACAGAAUGUUGGGCGGUGAAGCAUCAACACGUACACAAAAUGGGUGUAGCGGAGAUGAGGAUGCUUCGUGGGAUGUGUGGGCACACGAGAAAGGAUAAGAUUGGGAAUGAGGAUAUCCGAGGUAAAGUAGGAGUAGCCGAAAUUGUAGGAAAGAUGAGAGAAAAUCGGCUCCGGUGAUUUGGACAUGUGCAAAGAAGGCCGACUGACGCUCCGAUUCGAAGAUGUGACUACGGGACAGAGGUUCAGGGCCGAAGGGGUAGAGGAAGACCUAGGAAAACUUUGGAAGAGACUCUAAGAAAAGACUUAGAGUACUUGGAUCUAACGGAGGACAUGACACAAAACCGAGCGCAAUGGCGUUCUAGGAUUCAUAUAGCCGACCCCACUUAGUGGGAAAAGGCUUUGUUGUUGUUGUUGUUGUUGUAUUUUUUCCCUUUUCAAAAUCGAAAUGUUCUAAAUUAUUUCACUAAUCCUUGCUAGUUUGAACUGCAGGAGUCUGUCUCUGGAUUUGAAAGAUUAUCUGGACUUACAGUUUUGAAGAAUUGGGAUUCUAGUGUUACACAUAUUAUUGCAUCGACAGAUGAAAAUGAAGCAUGCAGAAGAACCCUUAAAAUUUUGAUGGGUAUCUUGGAGGGGAAGUGGAUUCUGAGUGUGGAGUGAGUUUUACUGUUUUCGUUUUAAUUGUUCUUCCUCAAGUGCUUGGACUUUACAAUUGUAAUGAGUACAGAAGCCGAAAUGAGAUAUUGAUAUACAUGUUCACAUUGCUGAUAAUUCGUUAUCCGUCUGUUUGUGUAGGAAUUAAUGCUUGCACAUAAGUAAUGAAACUAGUUAAUGAGGAGCCUUAUGAAAUCAACGUUGACAUUUAUGGAAUCAGGGAUGGUCCUCGACUUGGUAGACUAAGGCUGCAGAACAAGGUUAGCUUUUCCUCGAGUUUAACUAUCAUCACGAAAACUUUAGAUUUUCAUGGAUUCACCAUAGGCAUUGUUAAUCUUGUUCAGUCCAUAAAUAGGUUACACACUUAUCUUAACAAAGGUGAGACCUUCUCAAUUCCUCAUCGAGAUGAAUCAAGAGCAUAAUUGUAGCAGUGAUCAAGAGCAAUUUUUUUAUGUUUCUUCCAAAUUGUUGAGAUGAAUCAUCUGUGUUUUGUUCUAAUAAUCUUACAAAUUUGUUGAGCAAUUUUUGUAAAGUCAGAAUCUUUGGUUUCGGUUGUGAGGUAUCUGAUUUGGGUAUAUGUGUUUUGCAGGGCACGGUGGUUGUGGCGGAGGAAGAUUAGGAUUGACGACAGAGCUCUGGCCAUGAACUAUCAGCUCUGUCUUUCUCUCUCUAACUAUGAAUUGAAUACAAAAGUCUGUGUUGAUAUGGAAAAUGUAGCUCAAAAUUAUUACACAAAUGGCAAAAAAAAAAAGUUCGAGUGUGGAGUUUCACUUACUGAUACAGGGCUUUUGAAACAGGGUUGUCUAGACUGUAGAAGAAAUCCAUGGCUUUUGGAAGAGGGGAUGUUCCAAAUCUAUCUUUUCUCCCUCUCUAAUGUUCUUCGAGGGGUUCUUGUGAUGCAAAAAGUGGUUUAUAUAUAUUUUUUAUUAUUAAUAAAUUUUCUGUCGGUUUUAUCAGACAAUAAUUCUUUUAUUUAUUCUUAUUAAUAAUUUCUCUGUCGGUUAUAUCUGACACAAUUUCUGUCGAUUUUAGAGUAUUUUCUAUCGAAAAUUUCAUUUCCUGACGCAUCAAUUAUGUCGCUUAUUAUAUCCGCCACUGCACUCAUUUCAUGUCGGAUUUUGCUUAAUUUCCAACAGUAUUAUACAUUUCUUGUCGGUUUUUAAACCGACACUAAUGGGUACUUUUGUAGUAAUGUUGGGGCGUCGGAGUUCGUUUAAGGUCGAAUUGAGCACACCCAAAUUCAAGGGUUCCGUACGGUUCAUGGUAAUUUGAGGUAUUUCUCAGCCAAAUUGUCCUUAGUCACAGAUAUGAAAGUUGCUCCACUCGUUGAGAUCUUCAUUUAUGUCAAAUUUGAGAAUUUUUAGAAAUAAUUGGAUUUUCCAGCGAAUCGGGGCGGCGGACCACCACCGGACAGCGCAUGGCUAGUGGGCCCCCAAUGUCAUUUUACGUUAAAUUGGUAUCUUGAUUUUAGGUUUGAUGUCUAUAUGUUAUGACUUGAUAUGUGAACCUAGUUUAAUUAAGGUGCGUUAAUUGGUAAAAAUAUGAAACGACGAUCCGACCGUGGGAUCGUCACCAAUCUUUAUUAUGUUAUAGUACAUUAUAUUUGAGAAUCAUAGGGACUGACGGAUAGGAAAUCCGAUAUACGGAUCUUCCUGAAAUGGAAUUGUAAGUUCGAAGAAUAAACGUUAACCGCCACUUUGUUUUGACUAUUGGUGAAGAUCCAACCGUUGGAUCAUAAUGAAAUUUUAGGAUGAUGUUUUAGAAGCAUAAUGUGGAUCUUUGGAAGUUAUUGAUUGGAAAUCCGAGGAGCGAAUCUUCCGGAUUGAAUUACGUAAGGUUGUGGACCCUACCGUCGAUCGUUGACUGACGAUCGACUUUUGGUCAAUGGGGCUUAAAUCACUCUAAAAUGUUUUUAGGGAUGUGUUUUACGUAAAUUACAUUAUCUAUGGAUAAGAAUUCUGAGAUGUGGUUUGAUAAUUGUCCUGGGCGCCGAUCGUUAGGAACGCUUCGAUGGUUGUGCUAGGAAAUUGUAGCAUAGACUCCAGGUGAGUGAAUCUUUUCCUUCUUAUAUAUAUAUAUAUAUAUAUAUGAUUGACAAUUCCACAAACGUUUAUAAAUUGAUUAUUGCAUAUAACUACUGUAAAUACUUUGAAGUACUUAUGCGAACUACGAAUGGCUUGAUCCCUAUUUAGGGUACGUAUGCAGUCUAACAAGACAUUAAAUGCAGUCAUACAAUAAUUGAGAUUAAACAAUUGAGACAAAGCCUUGUAUGGGGAACUGGGCAAGGUGAACGAAUUUGGUAAAAAUGUGAGAUUUAACCUUCUGAAUUGGUGAUUAAAUGUUGGUCAUAAAUCAAUGUGUAAAGAAUCAAGAAUUUGAAGUAAGGAAACGUAAGUAAUGAUAAUUAAUUAAACUAGUGUCUAGUUGGGCUUGUCACCUAUAAUUAUCCCCAAAAAUGAAUAAUUCGGGAGUAGGGCGUUAUAGCUUCUGCAUUUUUAUGCCACAUUAUAUAUAUAUAUAUAUGUGUGUGUGUGUGUGUGUGUGUGUGUGUGUGUAUAAUUGGAAAUGCUAUAACGUGGUUGAGUAUCAGAUUUCAUCAUGGUUUAUCUAUAUGUAUAUUACCUGCACACAAUUAUUAUGAACACUUUGAAGUGCAAAGGUGAACGCAAGACACCCAGGAAAGUUCAGGUGAGUUUAUGGUAUUAGUUGAAAUGAUGGGGUUAUGGUAACUACAUGUAUGUUUAGGUUGCAAUGAUAGGCAACUCCGACACUGUCGUACAAGUUGCCCAUGAAUUGUAUAUGUUACAAUAGAUAGAGUUAGAGGUCAUAAACCUGCACCCCGGUGUUAGUGCUCCCACCCGUGGCUAGGGCACAGUCUUUCACGAGAUGUUCACCUCUCGCAUCUUACGCUCACCUUGGAUCCAAGGUAGGUGCACAGUCAUGUCAUAAAGACCACUAUAGGUGGUUCCGACUAGUAGAUGACCCGUGAUUAUUCGCACAGUCUUCACGUGAUUGUAGCACUUGAGCGUAUUUAUUUACACCCAGUCCUGUCGUACAGACCACUUUAGGUGGUUCCGACUCGUAUGCAGGUAUACUUAUUGAGCUAUGGAUAAGUCGUACAGGUCACUAAAGGUGACUCCAACUUAUGAGCUAGCAUAUGUGAUGAAAUAUGUGAUGAGCUAGCAUAUGUAAUGAGAUAAGUGAUGAGCUAGCAUAUGUGAUGAGAUAUGUGAUGAGUUAGCAUACGUUAUGAGAUAUGUGAUGAGUGAUAUAAUCAUAAUUGCAUACAUUUUCAUGCCCUUUUAGUUUAGAUUUUUGUUAUCCUUUUGAGUGAAUUUAGUUUGUUUCACUUAGUUUUAUGUUUUUCUUAGAUUUGAAGUGUGAAGAUGAAGAAAGAAGAAAAAAGAGCAUUUUUAGCGAUUGAAAUGAGUUUGGCAUGCUGGAAGCAGAGGCUAUUUGUGCGGAUCAGCCAACUUUACGGAUUAAACUGUACUUCCUUAGAAUGCCAGCUGUUGAGUCUUAUACCAUUGGAAAGAUAUGAAAGUUAGCUUUCAGAGGAAUUUUACGAUUCGUGAUUCCGAGUUUCCUAGAAGACGUUAUAGUGGUUUUUCUACCAGAUGUCUGCCAGCAAGGUUUUACGCGGGAUUUGCAAAGAGAUUCCAGAUUUACAAAGUUUAAUUAAAGGAAACAAGCAGAGAAAAAAGAAGAGGAAGCUUUUAGAAAAGUUCAGGACUAUUCUAAACGGUGCAUAGUUAAUAUAUUUAAUAGUUUAGUGUGCCACAUCAUCAAUAAACUAAUCUAAGUCAGAAGAGAAAUUCAAGAGUCCCAUUCAAGUAAGUAUUCCAGCAGUUUUAUUCAGGAAUAAAGGAGGGCAGACCGUCGGACUUUAGGAGCGGACAGAGAGAGUUUUUGGGUUUUCGAAGGUGCAGAGAAGAGGUCGCAGCAAGGAGUGAAACAGAGUCGCCGAUCAUCUGGGCAAUCCAUCACCAUCGUGUGGAAGUAUUUUAUGUUUUUCAGAUUUUUAAUUAUGUUUUCAGAUUUUAUGAGUAACUAAACUCUUUUUCUAAGGUUAGGAUGAUGCCCUAGCAUGGAUGUUUAUGGUUUGUAAUGUUAUUCAUUGGAUUUCCAGUUUCUUUUAGAUGAAUGCUUAAUCACUGUUUGAAUUGUUACUGUUUGUUUGAGUUCUUUGAUUGAUCACCUUAGGACUUUGCAUCUAGUAAGAUUGGAAGAUGAAUUUGAGACUGAACUAACAAUAUAAUUCAAUUAGCUUCUUGUGGUUAAGUGUGGUAAAUUACAUUAUUGCUUGAAAAAGAAUAAUGGUUUGUUUGGGUCCCUUGUUUUCUAGAGGGUAAAGAGUCCUACUUGUUAAAUUUAUGCCUUAACUAGGAUAGACUGCUUGUUAGGAUAUACGACCUCUGCCUAAACUAGGAGAGAAUCAUUCACAUAAGGAAAACUAUGGUCUAAUAUGCCUGACAAGGACUUAGAUACGGGAAUUAUCAUCUAAAGAAUUGAAAGAUCCAUUGAAUGCAUUGAAACCUAAACUAGAUUGCUUGUGGUUGAUUCCGAAUCCCUAGAUUUUCAUCACUUGCCUUAAAACACAACCGUUUCUUUUCUUUAAUUUCAGUUUUUACUUAAGGUUCUGUUUUUGUUCAUUUAUAAAAUCAUCACAACAAAUUUUUUACAUCUUUGAUUGACUUAUUAAUUAAGAUCGAGUCUAGUUCGUUGUUUGGGUUUGUGUGUCUUUAAUAUAAUUAGAUUUGGUUUAGUUUAUCAAAUUGGAGAUUGAAUUAGAAUCCUCGUGGGAACGAUACUUGGACUUGCAAAACGUUAUAUUACGACUAUCUUGUGCACUUGUAAGUUUACACCAAGUUUUUGGCGCCGUUGCCGGGGACUCUAAUUGAGUCCCCCAAUUUGAUAUCAUAUUCCAUAUCUAAUAAGUAGUUUAUUGUAGAUUAUUCAAUUUGAUUUUGUUUUGUUCUCUAGUUUCGAGUAAGAGUCAUAACUAUUAAGAUAAGUAAAAGUAAUUUUCGUCACUGUUUUAUUUCAGUUUUGUAUCACUGUUUCGACACAGUUUUGGACUAAACUAUUCGAUUUUUUACCAGGAAUAUUGUGUAUCGUUGGAAAGCCCCAGAAGUCUAGUUUUCAACCCAAAAAACAGAUCAAUGAUUGGAUUUUUGAGCUGCAAGAAAUGUACAAAAUACUGAGCAGUGGUCAAACAAGGAGCACAGUCUGGUCGUAUAUGCAAGGUAGACGUUCGUUGCAAUUUGAGUUGAUUCAUAUAGACCAAGAACUUGUGCGUACUUUAAGAGAACAGUGGAGGCAGCGAGUGUGUCAAGAACCAGCCAUGGAGGAAGUAGUUAAUAAUGGUGGAAAUAAUCCUCCACCAUUGCUACCACCACAACCAAGGCUCAUGCGUGAUUAUACAAAGCCAACGGAGUACAACGCACCGUCAUGCAUUGUUUUGGCUCCAAUUGCGCAGCGAUUUGAGAUUCGUCCACAAAUCUUUCAGUUGCUGCCUAUAUUUCUUGGGAAGGAGGAAGAAAAUCCAUACCAUCAUAUCAAGGCGUUUUUCAAGCUAUGUUCCACAUUCACAUUCACCAAUGUUACUGAAGAGCAAAUUCGACUUCGGUUAUUCCCAUUCUCUUUGAGGGAUAAAGCAAGCAGUUGGUUGGAUUCUCUUCCCGAAGCAUCUAUCGACACAUGGACAAAAUUAUCGAAGAAGUUUUUGUCCAAGUUCUUCCCCGCUCGAAGAACCAAUGCUCUGAUCAAUGAAAUCAUGAGCUUUCGACAACAAGAAGGUGAACAGUUUCAUGAAAGUUGGGAGCGCUAUAAGGACUUGUUUCUUCAAUGUCCUCAUCAUGGUUUCAACACUUGGCAAAAGGUUCAUUAUUUUUACAAAGGUUUGAACUCUCAAUGUAGGAGUUUGGUUGAUUCAACGGUUGGUGGAACCUUGAUAGACAAAACUCCAGAAGAUGCCAUACAUGCCUUUGAAACUAUAUGUGAAAAUUCUGAGCAUUGGGAUUUUCCUACAAAAGAUUUGAGAGUUCCAACUGCAUCGUCAACAAAAAAAGGAGGCAUUUAUGAAGUUAAUACAAGGACGGGCUUAGAGGCACAAGUGGCAGCCCUCACCAAGCUUCUCACACCACUUGUAAGCAAGAUAGCCACGCAGCCAUGUACUUUAUGUGCGAGCAUCGCCCAUGACAUGGAAAAUUGUCCAACAAAUGCUAAUCUAGAAGGCAUCCAAGAGGUCAAUGCAUUUAGUGGGAGGCCCCGGAAUGAUCCAUAUUCUAAUAAUUAUAACCCGGGAUGGAGAGAACAUCCAAAUUUUUCUUAGAGAGAUUCACAAAAUAGCAUGGGAUCAUUCACUUCAACAAAGCAAUAUCAGCAACCUUAUCAAGCUCCUCCAAUUCAACAAAAAGACUCGUCUAUCAAGGAUAUGUUAUCUCAACUCUUAAAGAAAACUGAUCGGUAUGAACAUGAAGUUGUGUCGCUUAGACAAAGUCAGACGGUGUUGGAAAAGGCUCGAUCUAAUUUUGAGACUCAGUUGGGACAGAUAGCUACUACUUUGAACAAGCUGGAGUGAGCACAAGGGCAAUUUCCAAGCCAAACUGAAACAAAUCCUAGGAAUCAAAAGCAUGUUCAAGCUGUCACCACUUUGAGGAGUGGAAAGACGAUUGGUAAUAAUGUGGAAAGUUCAAAAAUUAAUAAGGAAGAAGAUGAAGGGGUCAGCACAUAUCGGGCAGCAGCUUGACAAGACAAGCUAAAAAAGAGAAGUAUAUGGGAGAUAUUUUAGAGCAAUUUAGAAAGGUGCAGAUUAAUAUUCCUUUUCUCGAUGCCAUCAAACAAAUUCAAUCAUAUGCGAAGUUUUUGAAGGAACUUUGUACUAACAAGAGACGGUAUGAAGAACAUGAGGAGGUGAAGUUAUCAGACACGGUUAGUGCGGUUCUUCAAAGAAAAUUGCCACCAAAACUUCAAGAUCCUGGUAGCUUUACAGUCCCAUGUGUCAUUGGAGAAAGAAAAUUCGAAAAAGCUUUGCUUGACUUGGGAGCCAGUGUGAAUUUGAUGCCCUAUUCUGCUUAUAAACACCUCAAAUUAGGCGAACUAAAGCACAUAUCCAUUUCUCUACAAUGCACUGAUCGUUCUGUGAAAUAUCCAAGAGGGAUUGUUGAAAAUGUACUUGUGUGUGUUGAUCAAUUUAUUCUUCCUGCUGACUUCAUCAUUUUGGACAUGGAAGAAGCCGAAAUUCCUGGUCGUGACUUGCCUCUCAUUCUUGGCAGACCUUUCAUGGCUACUGCAGGUACGAAGAUUGAUGUUAAAUCGGGAUUAUUAACUAUGACUGUGCAAGGUAUUACUGUAGAAUUUCAGGUCUUCGAAGCAUUGAAGAAGCCCAUGGAUCUUUAUGACUGCUUUCGUGUUGAGGUAGUGGAUCCAAUUAUAAAAAAAAACAUUCAUUGAAUCAAGCAUCUCAGAUCCUCUGGAAGUUUGUAUCUCUCAACAUGGGAUGAGUUUUGAAAAGGCUACCAUCAUUGAAGCAGAACGAGAUCUCAAUGCCGUAACGUCCUACUCUCUUAGAUGCCAGCCCAAAUUUGAAGCGUUGCCACUCACAAGCCAAAAUUGUACCAUCCAUUAUACAACCUCCAAAGCUUGAAUUGAAGCCUCUUCCAGAGACUUUAAAGUAUGCAUAUUUGGUGAUUCAGAGACUCUUCCUGUGAUUAUAGCUGCUGAUCUUAACCAAACAGAAGAGGAAAAGUUGAUGCAAAUGUUGAGGGAGCAUAAAACAGCAUUGGGAUGGAGUAUUGCAGACAUAAAAGGAAUUAGUCCUCAAUUUGCAUGCAUCGGAUAUAUCUUGAGGACAAGUCAAAGCCUUCUAGAGAGGCACAGCGACGUCUAAAUCCACAUAUGCAAGAAGUGGUUCGGGCAGAAGUUCUUAAAUUACUGAAUGUCGGCAUUAUUUAUCCUAUAUCUAACAGCAAAUGGGUAAGUCCACUGCAGGUUGUACCACAGAGAUCUGGAAUUACAGUUGUCAAGAAUGAAAAUAAUGAGCUUAUACCCCAGAGGACUGUCACGGGUUGGAGAAUGUGUACAGAUUACAGAAAGAUCAAUAAUUCAACUCGAAAAUAUCAUUUUCCACUCCCUUUCCUUGAUCUCAUGCUUGAGAGACUUGCAGGCCAUAGUUAUUAUUGUUUUCUUGAUGGCUAUUCCAGAUAUAAUCAAAUUCCCAUAGCUCCGGAAGAUCAAGAAAAGACUACUUUCACAUGUCCAUUUGGAACUUUUGCCUAUCGACGAAUGCCUUUUGGGUUAUGUAAUGCUCCCGCAACAUUCCAAAGAUGCAUGAUGAGCAUUUUCUCAAACUUGGUGGAAAGGUGUAUCGAAGUGUUCGUGGAUGAUUUUUCCGUGUUUGGGUCAUCGUUUGAUCAAUGUCUUCAUCAUCUUUCAUUGGUGCUCUAACGGUGUCAAGAAACCAACUUGAUUUUAAAUUGGGAAAAAUGUCAGUUUAUGGUGAAAAGUGGUAUUGUUCUUGGUCAUGUAAUUUUAGCUGACGGAAUUGAAGUUGAUAAAGCUAAGGUGGAGCUGAUUUCGAAGCUUCCUCCUCCCACUUCUGUAAAAGAAGUUCGAUCCUUUCUCGAGCAUCCAAGUUUUUAUCGCCGAUUUAUUAAAGAUUUCUCGAAAAUCACCAAGCCACUUUGUGAUCUGCUUGCUAAAGAUUCUGUGUUUAAUUUAAAUGGUGAGUGCUUACAAGCUUUUGAGACCCUCAAGAAAGAAUUAACACAAGCCCCAAUCAUAAAAGCUCCAGAGUGGUCUCUUCCUUUUGAAAUCAUGUGUGACGCCUCUGAGUAUGCAAUAGGUGUUGUGUUAGGGCAGCGAGUUAACAAACUUCCUCAUGUUAUAUUUUAUGCUAGCCGAAUUCUCACUUAACAACUUUCAUAUCCCUUAGUUUCCAAAAUUUAAUAUACAAAUUUAGUCUCCCAAGCAUUGCUAUAUUACUUAAGUAUUGAUUAAUAGACUUAUUUCUUAUGGUGACACAUUAUUUAGUUUACAAAUUUAGUCUAUCUAACAUUACUCUUUUGACAUUGUCUUGUCCACUGAUAUAAUUCUAUUUUUCUUGUGAUCAAAACUUCAAAUGUUAGCAAGUCGCACGUAAAGUCGCUUCUGAGAGAAUGUGCUCACAUUGUAGUUGAAAGAUUAUGUGGCUAGCAACAUUACAAAUUUAAUUUGGUAUAAUUUUAAAAUAUAGAUUGAGGAAAAAAAGGAUCACAUUAACUAGAAACUGAAAAGGUUUCGGCGCAAUAUGUUCAAGCAAGAAACUCAAUUUUGAUGCUACCGAUCUUAACAGCCUGAGCGCCGUACCUGGGCACUAAAGUCACCACCACACUCUCAUCAUCUUCAGCACCCAAAUCCUCCAACAGGUCCGUUAACCCCAACCUUAAACAACUCUUGCUCUUUUCCUUCUGCUUAUGUGGCACACUCACAAAACUCCCAGCAAACUCGCUCUUGUCGGGUCCACUCGGUGCCGCAUCCUCAUCAUCCACGUCAUUCACAUACACAUCAAACUUCACAGCCACAUCUUUGUCAAGCUCAAUCCCCCGAAUCACCAAUAUCUCCUCCUCAUCCUCUUUCUCCUUCUUGCUCCUCUUCUUCGGCUUCGGCCUUGACACCACCGUAGUUAUCUUCGUCUCCAAAUUUAUUGGAAAAUCUUUACCCGCCACCACCUUCCCCGAUGACGUCGUCUCAGCGGCCUUCGCCACUCCAGCCGCCUUUGCCUUUCUCGCAAGCUUUGUCCGACGUGGCGUCGGUCUAGAGUUGAGCCAUGGAAUCUCAACAUCUUCAUACGUAUACCCUAGCUUUUUAUUAUCAAGAGUGUCCCUCACCGUGACCCUAACAAGCUCAGCAUUCUCGUCAUAAAACAAAAACCCCGUAUCCAACCAAUCCUUAUCGUUAAUAUCUUUAUUUUUAGUCCCUAUACUUUUCCAAAUAUUCCACAUUCGAUCCAGAUUCAAAUGGUGCGCAAAAAAUAUCGGAUCCCUUGCAGUGGAGUAAAAAUUCCCCAUGUCUUCAUAAUUAGGUUGCGUGUUAUCUCCGGUCCAUGUAUGAACCGGACCAUGUGGGGUCUGUUCGAUUGCACCGGCCCCUGGAUCUGGUUCAGUGCCAGCCCUGUAGGGCGAACCAAAGAACAACAGCGGUUUCUUGGAGUUGGAAACCAUCUGCCUAUACAUGAUUUUGAGGUUGGCUUCGAUUUGAGCAUCCUUGGACAUUGUUUCAUCCGUGCCGUUGAAGUCAAGAUCGAUGAGAGUUGGCGGCUGAUGGCUGGCAGCGCGGAGCUCGUCGUAAAGCGGAGAGUCAGGGUUAGCGUACAAGGCAGGGAGUUGCAUGCCAGCUGGCGCGUCCCAGUUCCAAAACGGCAACGCGAAGGUCGGAUCGUCUAUGAGUUUGGCCAAGAUUCUUUCGUGGAAAUAUAGGUAGUAACGAUGGAAGGGGAAGAAAAGCCAGGAUUGAUGGAUUUGGAGCUCGAGGUUGGGGAAGCCGACUUGGUCGUACGCACCGUUACAAUAGGCACAGUGGACAUCGGCUUGCUGGGUGAAGCUACGCGGAUCGUCGUCCGGGAGGGCUUUCAUGAGCUCGAUGGCUUUUGAGUAUUUUUCGAUGUAGGCUUUAUCCACGGCGUGAGCUGCCGGCCUGACGCGGAGUUUGGUAGGGGAGGGGAAUUUGAAGUCUACGAUUUUUUGGGACGUUGGCGGGCAACAGUUGGUCGGGACUGCUCCACUUGGAAAGUCCGCAGCUCCGCAUUUGGCUAGGUCAGGCGGCGACACUGGCUUUGCAACAGCGAAGGGGUCGCUGCCAAGACCAGCCACUCCACCGUACAGGCUUCCGAGACCUAUAAGUACAUGUCUUCUGUCUAGGUUUACUGGAGAAGGGUUUUCAUGGUCGUGAUCGUUGGAGCUAGUGGAAGGGUUUUUGUUUUGGUCACUACUAUUAUUUGUGGCUUUGCAUGAGACAGCUUGUAAAUUGGAAUGCCUAGGGUUUCCAAAUGAGGAUAUUCGGUGAUACUUUUGGGAGAAAGGAGAGAGAGAAGUUGUGGGGAUGAUACUUGUGGUGGGGGUGACGAGUGGAGCUGACAUAGAAGCCAUGGUUACUUGACUCUGAAUAAUACGUUGUAUGGGCUUUUGCUUUUAUAAUAUGUUCUAGGUUUACUUUUCUUUGCACAGGUGGCAGGCCGUGCACACGUUGUCGAGGAAUAGUACGUAGUCAUUUAGGAGAAAAAUCUAAUUGUGACGGAGGUGACGAGUGGAGCUGACAUAGAAGCCAUGGUUACUUGACUCUGAAUAAUACGUUGUAUUGGCCUUGCUUUUAUAAUAUGUUCUAG
rnacentral:lncRNA from 1 species